rnacentral:tRNA from 2 species
GCGGGCGUGGUGAAAUCGGUAGACACGCCGGCUUUAGGUGCCGGUGGCGCAAGCCGUGGGGGUUCGAGUCCCUCCGCCCGCA